GUGUAUAUAUAUAUAUAUAUAUAUGUACUGCUCGGUGGCGAUUAGCGCUCACCGCUGGGAAGCCUCGCUGCCUGGAAAUUGGCUUUGCCUCCCAGGAAACCUGAGGAAAAUGCUGCCCUAGUUACUGCUGCCGUAGGUCUUAGGAGAAGCUUGAAAUGAGAUAGAUACAGGGUUUUCUUUCAAAAUAUGUUCUUGAAUAAAUUAGUUUGUAUCCAGAAAUGGCAUCUGUUUUCCUUGGCUCAGAUAUUUUUCUAAAAGUUUUUAGGUAUGCAGCUCACACUCAAACGGGUGCCUAAUAUCUGAGCAGUUUUUCUGAGCAGUUUUGAAAAUCAGGCCUGUGUUAUUCUGAGAUAAAACAGAACUACUGUUUUAAUUAAAAAAAUUAAAUACAGAAAUGCUGUGGGGUCAGUAACCCCGGCAAAGGGAAAGGACAGGCACUUAGACAUCAGGUCUCAUGAGGUGAAAAUUGUUUUUAAAAGUUAAGCAGCCUGGCAUUUGGUAGCGCAUACCAUCUAACAAUAAACCUUCUCAUUUAUACCUGAGGAAGAAGCUGAAAACACCAGACGCGUCUCUGUUUCUGUUGGAGGUCACUUGCUGAUUUAUCUCCAAUUCACAGUUCAUUAGAAGUAAUUAUUCCGAGUCUUAAGUUCUCACCUUGUGAAAAACACUGUGGCUGAAGGUGUAAAGAAGACAACGUUAAAGCUUUUGCUCACUUAUGGAAAUUACUCUGGAGACAAACACAACUCAGAAGACAAUGUUAUGAGCUACCUGUAACAAAAUGACUGGAGCCUCAUCUCGAAUAGUCUUGGGAGGGUCAAAGGCGUGUCCUUUUCCAGUUCACUGGCUAGCUUGUUGGGUUUUAGAAGAUGCAAUUUUUUAGCAUCUAAACAGGGAAAUAUCAUACUUACAUGAGAAGAAUCAUAGAGAUGACAGGGCUUCCCCCCAAAACACUUUCUGUGUAAUUGCUGAAGACAUUCCAACCCACUCUAAUGAAGUGUACUGUCUGCCAGUCAUUAUGCUCUUCUUGGAAGACCAUCUGUUGCACUUCAAAUAUGUAAAGGUCUGCUAUCAUUUAUUGCACCAAACAAAUAGGUUUCUUUGUCUGACAUGCUGUAACUGGUGAAUGUGGGCUAAAGGUAGUUUCACUUGCAAAAUGCAGGAUGUUCUCUUUUGUUGCACUGUAAAUGAAAGGUACUCAUUCAUCUCAAAUUUUGGAAGACAAACAUACUGAUUAAAUUAAUUUCAGUGCUUUUGAAGAAUUUCAGUUUAUUUGGCAACAAAUUGUUAACAACAACAACAAAAACCUGAAAUGUAUUUUCUCUUAACUCAACCAGAAGCACAUUGUAAGAUUUUUGCUUCUGGUGAAUGAGCCUAGCCAUUGUACUGUUAUCCAGAUUUGAUAUACACUGACAUUUGAAUUAAACUUACUUUAACUAAAUUCUUUAAUUAUUUUUAUCUGAAAGUAGUAAUUCAAAGAACCUUUCAGUGGUAAAAAAUAGUCAGCAGCUAGAGAUAACUAGAACCUUUCUUCUGAUAUGCAUGAGUCAUUUAUAUGGAUGUAAUACUUGGUUGUACAGCCUUUAUUUAUAUGAGUUAACUAGGAUCCUUUCCAUGAGUAAAAGGUGCCAGAUCAGGCAUUAAAUGA